rnacentral:rRNA from 1 species
AAGUUAGGAAGCUUGCUUCUGAUACUUAGUGGCGGACGGGUGAGUAAUGCUUAGGAAUCUGCCUAGUAGUGGGGGAUAACUUGGGGAAACCCAAGCUAAUACCGCAUACGACCUACGGGUGAAAGGGGGCUUUUAGCUCUCGCUAUUAGAUGAGCCUAAGUCGGAUUAGCUGGUUGGUGGGGUAAAGGCCUACCAAGGCGACGAUCUGUAGCUGGUCUGAGAGGAUGAUCAGCCACACUGGGACUGAGACACGGCCCAGACUCCUACGGGAGGCAGCAGUGGGGAAUAUUGGACAAUGGGCGAAAGCCUGAUCCAGCCAUGCCGCGUGUGUUAAGAAGGCCUUUUGGUUGUAAAGCACUUUAAGUGGGGAGGAAAAGCUUUAUGGUUAAUACCCAUAAGCCCUGACGUUACCCACAGAAUAAGCACCGGCUAACUCUGUGCCAGCAGCCGCGGUAAUACAGAGGGUGCAAGCGUUAAUCGGAAUUACUGGGCGUAAAGCGCGCGUAGGUGGUUAUUUAAGUCAGAUGUGAAAGCCCCGGGCUUAACCUGGGAACUGCAUCUGAUACUGGAUAACUAGAGUAGGUGAGAGGGGAGUAGAAUUCCAGGUGUAGCGGUGAAAUGCGUAGAGAUCUGGAGGAAUACCGAUGGCGAAGGCAGCUCCCUGGCAUCAUACUGACACUGAGGUGCGAAAGCGUGGGUAGCGAACAGGAUUAGAUACCCUGGUAGUCCACGCCGUAAACGUUGGGCGCUAGACGUGGGGGUG